GUAACUCAAAUUUGUAUGCAGUUGAAACAGCGCCUCUAGCGGAAAACGUAGGCAGACGUUCCAACUCCAUACAAAUUUGAUUAA
rnacentral:pre_miRNA from 1 species